rnacentral:rRNA from 1 species
CGCUAUCAUCCUACGGGAGGCAGCAGUGGGGAAUAUUGCACAAUGGGCGCAAGCCUGAUGCAGCCAUGCCGCGUGUAUGAAGAAGGCCUUCGGGUUGUAAAGUACUUUCAGCAGUGAGGAAGGUGGAGUCGUUAAUAGCGGCCUCAUUUGACGUUAGCUGCAGAAGAAGCACCGGCUAACUCCGUGCCAGCAGCCGCGGUAAUACGGAGGGUGCGAGCGUUAAUCGGAAUUACUGGGCGUAAAGCGCAUGCAGGUGGUUUGUUAAGUCAGAUGUGAAAGCCCGGGGCUCAACCUCGGAAUUGCAUUUGAAACUGGCAGACUAGAGUACUGUAGGGGGGUAGAAUUUCAGGUGUAGCGGUGAAAUGCGUAGAGAUCUGAAGGAAUACCGGUGGCGAAGGCGGCCCCCCUGGACAGAUACUGACACUCAGAUGCGAAAGCGUGGGGAGCAAACAGGAUUAGAUACCCCUGGUAG